UACGUAGGGUGCAAGCGUUGUCCGGAAUUAUUGGGCGUAAAGAGCUCGUAGGCGGUCUGUCGCGUCGGCUGUGAAAACCCGGAGCUCAACUCCGGGCCUGCAGUCGAUACGGGCAAACUGGAGUGUUGCAGGGAAGACUGGAAUUCCUGGUGUAGCGGUGAAAUGCGCAGAUAUCAGGAGGAACACCGGUGGCGAAGGCGGGUCUCUGGGCAACAACUGACGCUGAGGAGCGAAAGCGUGGGGAGCGAACAGG
rnacentral:rRNA from 1 species